AUAUUCCAAAAAAGACAAAACUCACACGCCCUUCUCUAAAUCGUCUUCCUCUUCGACCCUCACUCCGCCGACCAGACCAUUAGACGAACAACCACCGUCGAUCUCUGAAAAUGUCGUCGACCGUCUCCCAAUGUUGUCUAUCACUGCAAAUCGUCGCCCAAUGUCCAUCUUUGGAACCAAACGCCCGCCGUCGACGUUGGAGACAUUUACUAAGGUACGUUUAAGUUGUAUUUGAAGUCAUUAGAGCCAUUGAAGGCUUUGGUGAUUGAUGAAGCAGCACAGUUGAAAGAGUGUGAGUGUGUUAUUCCAAUGCAACUGGCUGACAUAAAGCAUGCAAUCCUCAUAGGUGAUGAGUGCCAAUUGCCAGCAUUGGUUUAGAGCAAUAAUGCAUCCAUCCAUCAGCCUUUUCCCAAACUCAAAAUUCUACUCAAGUCAGAUCUCAGAUGGUCCUAAUGUCAAACCUAAAGCCUAUGAAAAGACGUUUAUUCUCGGACCGAUGUUCGGUUCGUAUUCUUUCAUAAACAUAAAUGGUGCACGAGAAGAAAAGGAUGAAAUUGGACACAGUUUGAAAAACAUGGUAGAGGUUGAUGUUGUGCUCAAAAUUGUUCAUUCUUUGUCUCAAGCAUGUGUUGACUCAAAAGGAAAGAUGAGCAUUGGUGUAGUGUCCCCAUAUUCAGCUCAAGUCGUUACCAUUCAACGCAAAAUUGGGAAGAAGUACAAUUGUAAUGGAUUUAAUGUGAAGGUGAGUUCAGUUGAUGGCUUUCAAGGAGGGGAGGAAGAUAUCAUUAUUAUUUCCACUGUUCCGUGUAAUACAGGAUCGUCCAUCUGGUUUUUGUUGAGUAAUCAAAGAACAAAUGUCGCACUUACAAGAGCUAGGUAGCUGCUUUCUAGUUUAUAGUAGGUACUGUUUGUGGACAUUGGGAAACUUCAAAACACUGUCAAAGAGUAACUCGGUUUGGGAAGAGUUGGUUAUGGAUGCCAAGAAUCGUGGCUGUUUCUUCAAUGCUAAUGCCAAUGCCAUAACCAAAGACAUCCAACAGAUAGUUCCACUACUGGAUUAUUUCAACUCCAAUGAUGAAGGAAGAAGCUUGGAGAUAAUGGAGGGAAAGAACGUAGAAGAUCAUGAAUCCAAGGCCAAGAGGCUGUUGCAGUUGUUGUGGUAAGAUUAACUUCAUAAAAAAUGGAGAAGGAGGUAUUCUUAAAUGCUUAUAUCCCUAAAAAUGACUUCAACACUUCUAUUUAUGAAUUUCAUGAAGCCACUGGGCUGAUUUUAAAUUGCUAGGAUGAUCAACCUGCUGGGGAAGGUAACAUUAAUCUUCUUUUGUUUACAUUUGAACUACUCAAAUUUCUAUCACAUAAAAAUUAUCAUUCAUGAACAUAAUAAAGUGGAUUUUAAAGAUGUAGAAAAUGACUUUUGUUUAGUGUUUGAUUGAACGGAAAAUUUUGGGUAAAGUUCUUUCUUGUAAUAUUUUUGUACUUUGGUUUUAAUUUUUUUUAUGUGAGGAAUGCUCUUCCUUCCUUAUUCUCAAUUUUUGUCUAUAUCAUAUUUUUGUUUUCCUUAGUAUUUGAACAUUUUUGUAUUCGUAGCAACCUAACUUUGUUGUUUCUCUUAGUUUGGUUGUGAUUUGAGUAUUUUAUAUUUGGGGUUCAGGAAAGACAGUAUUUGUUGAAGGAAUUCCCCGUGAACUGGUUUCUUGUAAGAAGUAUUGUAAAGUUUUGAAGGUUGGGUUGUGGUAAUGGAAGCACCGUUAUUCCAAUCUUGUUGUAACCUCCAACCAAGCUAAUUUUAAAGGUGUCAAGUGUAUUUUGAUUUUGGGGAAGAAUUCAGAUGACAAAAGCAUCAAGAAGUCAAUCGUCGGUCUGAAAAGUUAGUGAUAAACAUCCAGGUUGGAUAUGCUUCAGCUAAGUUAAAGUUACGAUUCAGAUGGUCGUAUCAGGUUCAACUGGAGUCGACAACUUCAUGAGUUUACUUUUAAAGAACAUUUUUAGAGACGAACGUUCUCGGUUGGUCGUUUAUGUUUUAGCAGAAAAUCUUGUUAUAUAUAUUCUGAUGCUAUUUAAAAUAUUUUUUGAUUAAGAGCUAGAAUUCCGUACUUGUAAAUUGUUGGAAGUUGAUUGGAAAUAUACGAAUAUUAUAAAUUGUAUUAUAGCGUAUAUAUAUUAAAGUGUCCGCUAUUUUUUACUA